rnacentral:rRNA from 1 species
GACGAACGCUGGCGGCGUGCUUAACACAUGCAAGUCGAACGGAAAGGCCCCUUUAGGAGUCCUCUUGUUGCCAACGGGCACGUAACACGUGAAUAAGCUCCCCUCUUCUUCUGGACUACUUCAUGGAACUGGGGCUCAUGCCGUAAUGGCAUCCUUUCUGCUUGGGUGGGGUUGCUUAGUUUGGGGGGUUUUGGAUGGUCUCGCGGGUUAUCCGCAUGUUUGUGUGGUAGUUGCUUAUCAAGGCUUUGACGGGUAGCCGGCCUGAGAGGGUGAACGGACACACUGGGACUGAGAUACGGCCCAGAAUCCGACGGGAGGAAGCAGUGGGGAAGAUUGCACAAUGGGCGGAAGCCUGAUGCAGCAACGCAGCGUGCGGGAUGACGGAAUUCGGGUUGUAAACCGCGUACAGCAGGGGCGAAGCUGGUGGUGACGGUACCUGAAGAAGAAGCACCGGCUAACUACGUG